rnacentral:rRNA from 1 species
UGGUGAGUAACGCGUGGGUGAUCUGCCCUUGGGUUGGGGAUAGCCAUUAGAAAUAGUGGGUAAUACCGAAUACGUUGGGAUGACUACGGUCAUUUCAGGAAAGGCGCUACGGCGCCGCCCAUGGAUGAGCCCGCGUCAGAUUAGCUAGUUGGUGGGGUAAUGGCCUACCAAGGCGAUGAUCUGUAGCCGGCCUGAGAGGGUGUACGGCCACACUGGGACUGAGAUACGGCCCAGACUCC